AUGCUCACUUCAACAACACAUACACUAAAAUUGGAAUGAUACAGAGAUUAUUAGCAUGGCCCCUGUGCAAAAAUGACAUGCAAAUUCAUGAAGAGUUCCAUAUUUUU